AGAGACCCGCGCCCGCCCCCGGGCCCCGAGGUCAGGCUCCCCCGGCCGCGCCCUUCCGUAGCGCCCGCACCCGGGAAGCCGACCCGGCCCAGGGCCGCAGUCCAGACUCUGCCGCUUCCUCCCCGCUGUUCAGGUUGAGCAGUUGCCGGGAGCCCUUCCCCACCUGUGACGUUUCAUUUCAGAACCGACUCACACCCCCGCAGCGCCCCAGGUAACCGAUGUGUGCGGGGGAUAAAAAUCAACCGUGACGCCCAGAAUCCCUCGCCAGCCCGGGAGGAGAGGCCAUAAAGCACUGAGAGGGCCGGCUUGGGUCUAGAGGAAUCCAGGGCUGCGGGGACAAGGUUGCUGCACCCCAAUCUUUCAGGGAUCCUUUUGUAAAAAUCAAGUUUGUUACUUUAAUUCCAGCAAAGGCCGCACACAGUGUGGUGUUGGCUUCAGGUGUGCAGUGUGGCGAUGCGAUGCGUGCGGGGUACUCUGCGCCCACCGCGGUAAGUACCUAUUACACCUAUUAUCUAUUUCAUCCA
rnacentral:lncRNA from 1 species